rnacentral:snRNA from 1 species
AUAUUUACCAGGUGCCGGGGCCUCUUUGAUCACCAAGGACGAGCCCCCAGGGCGAGGCACGGGCAUUGAACUGCGGUCGCGUUGACUCUUGCCACUACCUCAAACUCUGGCAGAUGGGGCAUGCAAAUUGUUUAAAUCCGGU